rnacentral:rRNA from 1 species
UGACGAGUGGCGCACGGGUGCGUAACGCGUAUGCAAUCUACCUUUUACAGGGGGAUAGCCCAGAGAAAUUUGGAUUAAUAUCCCAUAGUAUCAAGAGUCGGCAUCGGCAUUUGAUUAAAGAUUUAUCGGUAAAAGAUGAGCAUGCGUCCUAUUAGCUAGAUGGUGUGGUAACGGCACACCAUGGCAACGAUAGGUAGGGGCCCUGAGAGGGGGAUCCCCCACACUGGUACUGAGACACGGACCAGACUCCUACGGGAGGCAGCAGUGAGGAAUAUUGGACAAUGGGCGCAAGCCUGAUCCAGCCAUGCCGCGUGCAGGAAGACUGCCCUAUGGGUUGUAAACUGCUUUUAUACGGGAAGAAACACUCCCUCGUGAGGGAGCUUGACGGUACCGUAAGAAUAAGGAUCGGCUAACUCCGUGCCAGCAGCCGCGGUAAUACGGAGGAUCCAAGCGUUAUCCGGAAUCAUUGGGUUUAAAGGGUCCGUAGGUGGAUAAUUAAGUCAGAGGUGAAAUCCUGCAGCUCAACUGUAGAAUUGCCUUUGAUACUGGUUAUCUUGAGUCAUUAUGAAGUGGUUAGAAUAUGUAGUGUAGCGGUGAAAUGCAUAGAUAUUACAUAGAAUACCAAUUGCGAAGGCAGAUCACUAAUAAU